UACGUAGGGGGCUAGCGUUGUCCGGAAUCAUUGGGCGUAAAGAGCGCGUAGGCGGCUAGAUAAGUCCGGUGUGAAAGUCACAGGCUCAACCUGUGAAUGCCGCUGGAAACUGUCUGGCUAGAGUCCGGAAGGGGCGAGUGGAAUUCCUGGUGUAGCGGUGAAAUGCGCAGGUAUCAGGAGGAACACCAAUGGCGAAGGCAGCUCGCUGGGACGGUACUGACGCUGAGGCGCGAAAGCGUGGGGAGCAAACAGG
rnacentral:rRNA from 1 species